GGCAUAUCGCACAACUCCUAGGC
rnacentral:siRNA from 1 species